rnacentral:rRNA from 1 species
GAUGAACGCUGGCGGCGUGCCUAAUACAUGCAAGUCGAGCGAACGGACGAGAAGCUUGCUUUUCUGAUGUUAGCGGCGGACGGGUGAGUAACACGUGGAUAACCUACCUAUAAGACUGGGAUAACUUCGGGAAACCGGAGCUAAUACCGGAUAAUAUUUUGAACCGCAUGGUUCAAAAGUGAAAGACGGUCUUGCUGUCACUUAUAGAUGGAUCCGCGCUGCAUUAGCUAGUUGGUAAGGUAACGGCUUACCAAGGCAACGAUGCAUAGCCGACCUGAGAGGGUGAUCGGCCACACUGGAACUGAGACACGGUCCAGACUCCUACGGGAGGCAGCAGUAGGGAAUCUUCCGCAAUGGGCGAAAGCCUGACGGAGCAACGCCGCGUGAGUGAUGAAGGUCUUCGGAUCGUAAAACUCUGUUAUUAGGGAAGAACAUAUGUGUAAGUAACUGUGCACAUCUUGACGGUACCUAAUCAGAAAGCCACGGCUAACUACGUGCCAGCAGCCGCGGUAAUACGUAGGUGGCAAGCGUUAUCCGGAAUUAUUGGGCGUAAAGCGCGCGUAGGCGGUUUUUUAAGUCUGAUGUGAAAGCCCACGGCUCAACCGUGGAGGGUCAUUGGAAACUGGAAAACUUGAGUGCAGAAGAGGAAAGUGGAAUUCCAUGUGUAGCGGUGAAAUGCGCAGAGAUAUGGAGGAACACCAGUGGCGAAGGCGACUUUCUGGUCUGUAACUGACGCUGAUGUGCGAAAGCGUGGGGAUCAAACAGGAUUAGAUACCCUGGUAGUCCACGCCGUAAACGAUGAGUGCUAAGUGUUAGGGGGUUUCCGCCCCUUAGUGCUGCAGCUAACGCAUUAAGCACUCCGCCUGGGGAGUACGACCGCAAGGUUGAAACUCAAAGGAAUUGACGGAGACCCGCACAAGCGGUGGAGCAUGUGGUUUAAUUCGAAGCAACGCGAAGAACCUUACCAAAUCUUGACAUCCUUUGACAACUCUAGAGAUAGAGCCUUCCCCUUCGGGGGACAAAGUGACAGGUGGUGCAUGGUUGUCGUCAGCUCGUGUCGUGAGAUGUUGGGUUAAGUCCCGCAACGAGCGCAACCCUUAAGCUUAGUUGCCAUCAUUAAGUUGGGCACUCUAAGUUGACUGCCGGUGACAAACCGGAGGAAGGUGGGGAUGACGUCAAAUCAUCAUGCCCCUUAUGAUUUGGGCUACACACGUGCUACAAUGGACAAUACAAAGGGCAGCGAAACCGCGAGGUCAAGCAAAUCCCAUAAAGUUGUUCUCAGUUCGGAUUGUAGUCUGCAACUCGACUACAUGAAGCUGGAAUCGCUAGUAAUCGUAGAUCAGCAUGCUACGGUGAAUACGUUCCCGGGUCU